rnacentral:rRNA from 1 species
UACGUAGGGACCAAGCGUUGUCCGGAAUCAUUGGGCGUAAAGAGCGUGUAGGCGGCUUGUUAAGUCUUGCGUGAAAUCUCGGGGCUCAACCCCGAGCGGUCGUGAGAAACUGGCAGGCUAGAGUGCGGGAGAGGAGAGUGGGAAUUCCUGGUGUAGCGGUGAAAUGCGCAGAUAUCAGGAAGAACACCCCGUGGCGAAGGCGGCUCUCUGGAACGCAACUGACGCUGAGACGCGAAAGCGUGGGGAGCAAACAGG